rnacentral:lncRNA from 1 species
UACAUACACAUGCAUAUACUUAUUUAUUAUUUUUUCCGACCAAAAAACGCUACUGAAACUCUUAUUGCAAGAAGCGAACAACAAAUCUAUUCUUCUCUGUUUAGAGAUGUGAAUCAAUUAGAUUUUGAACUUAAACUUUCAGAUACCAAUUAUCAAAUCCUCUAUCGCCUAUGUUAGGAAUGGUAGGUAACAAAUCUAUAGUCUAUUCACGAACGAUGAUAAGCUUAUCUCAUUGACGGAGGAUUGAAAGCACUGGCAUAAUUAAAAAAAUUACC